UACGUAGGAGACGAGCGUUGUCCGGAGUUACUGGGCGUAAAGGGUGCGCAGGUGGCCGCGCGCGUGGGGGGUGAAAUCGCCUGGCUUAACUGGGCGGGGGCCUUCCAGACGGCGUGGCUUGAGCAGCGGAGGGGGGCGUGGAAUUCCGGGUGGAGCGGUGAAAUGCGUAGAGAUCCGGAGGAACACCGACGGCGCAGGCAGCGCCCUGGUCGCUUGCUGACACUGAGGCACGAAAGCUGGGGGAGCAAACAGG
rnacentral:rRNA from 1 species